rnacentral:rRNA from 1 species
GGAAUUUUGGACAAUGGGCGCAAGCCUGAUCCAGCAAUGCCGCGUGCAGGAUGAAGGCCUUCGGGUUGUAAACUGCUUUUGUACGGAACGAAACGGUCUACUCUAAUACAGUGGGCUAAUGACGGUACCGUAAGAAUAAGCACCGGCUAACUACGUGCCAGCAGCCGCGGUAAUACGUAGGGUGCGAGCGUUAAUCGGAAUUACUGGGCGUAAAGCGUGCGCAGGCGGUUAUAUAAGACAGAUGUGAAAUCCCCGGGCUCAACCUGGGACCUGCAUUUGUGACUGUAUAGCUAGAGUACGGUAGAGGGGGAUGGAAUUCCGCGUGUAGCAGUGAAAUGCGUAGAUAUGCGGAGGAACACCGAUGGCGAAGGCAAUCCCCUGGACCUGUACUGACGCUCAUGCACGAAAGCGUGGGGAGCAAACAGGAUUAGAUACCCUGGUAGUCCACGCCCUAAACGAUGUCAACUGGUUGUUGGGUCUUCACUGACUCAGUAACGAAGCUAACGCGUGAAGUUGACCGCCUGGGGAGUACGGCCGCAAGGUUGAAACUCAAAUGAAUUGACGG